rnacentral:rRNA from 1 species
UUCCUACGGGACGCAGCAGUGGGGAAUAUUGGACAAUGGGGGGAACCCUGAUCCAGCGACGCCGCGUGAGUGAAGAAGUAUUUCGGUAUGUAAAGUUCUAUCAGCAGGGAAGAAAAUGACAGUACCUGACCAAGAAGCCCCGGCUAACUACGUGCCAGCAGCCGCGGUAAUACGUAGGGGGCGAGCGUUAUCCGGAUUCACUGGGCGUAAAGGGAGCGCAGGCGGCACGGCAAGUCCGGUGUGAAAGCCCGGGGCCCAACCCCGGGACUGCACUGGAAACUGCCGGGCUGGAGUGUCGGAGGGGG